rnacentral:rRNA from 1 species
GAUGAACGCUGGCGGCGUGCCUAAUACAUGCAAGUCGAGCGAACAGACGAGGAUCUUGCUCCUCUGACGUUAGCGGCGGACGGGUGAGUAACACGUGGAUAACCUACCUAUAAGACUGGGAUAACUUCGGGAAACCGGAGCUAAUACCGGAGAAUAUAUUGAACCGCAUGGGUCAAUAGUGAAAGACGGUGUUUCUGUCACUUAUAGAUGGAUCCGCGCCGCAUUAGCUAGUUGGUAAGGUAACGGCUUACCAAGGCAACGAUGCGUAGCCGACCUGAGAGAGUGAUCGGCCACACUGGAGCUGAGACACGGUCCAGACUCCUACGGGAGGCAGCAGUAGGGAAUCUUCCGCAAUGGGCGAAAGCAUGACGGAGCAACGCCGCGUGAGUGAUGAAGGUCUUCGGAUCGUAAAACUCUGUAAUUAGGGAAGAACAAAUGUGUAAGUAACUAUGCACGUCUUGACGGUACCUAAUAAGAAAGCCACGGCUAACUACGUG